GAUGAACGCUGGCGGCGUGCCUAAUACAUGCAAGUCGAGCGAACGGACGAGAAGCUUGCUUCUCUGAUGUUAGCGGCGGACGGGUGAGUAACACGUGGAUAACCUACCUAUAAGACUGGGAUAACUUCGGGAAACCGGAGCUAAUACCGGAUAAUAUUUUGAACCGCAUGAUUCAAAAGUGAAAGACGGUCUUGCUGUCACUUAUAGCUGGAUCCGCGCUGCAUUAGCUAGUUGGUAAGGUAACGGCUUACCAAGGCAACGAUGCAUAGCCGACCUGAGAGGGUGAUCGGCCACACUGGAACUGAGACACGGUCCAGACUCCUACGGGAGGCAGCAGUAGGGAAUCUUCCGCAAUGGGCGAAAGCCUGACGGAGCAACGCCGCGUGAGUGAUGAAGGUCUUCGGAUCGUAAAACUCUGUUAUUAGGGAAGAACAUAUGUGUAAGUAACUGUGCACAUCUUGACGGUACCUAAUCAGAAAGCCACGGCUAACUACGUG
rnacentral:rRNA from 1 species